GGAAGGAUCAUUAUUGAAUGAACUUGGUGUGGUUGUUGCUGGCCCUCUCGGGGGCAUGUGCACACCCACCAUCCUCAUCUCUCCACCUGUGCACCUCUUGUAGACCUGGAUAGACUUUCCGAGGCAACUCGGUCGGGAAGAUUGCUGUGCUCUGUGAGCCAGCUUUCUUUGCAUGUCCAGGCCUAUGUUUUUCAUAUACCCCUAUAGAAUGUAACAGAAUGUAUCAUUGGGCCUUGUGCCUAUAAACCUUAUACAACUUUCAGCAACGGAUCUCUUGGCUCUCGCAUCGAUGAAGAACGCAGCGAAAUGCGAUAAGUAAUGUGAAUUGCAGAAUUCAGUGAAUCAUCGAAUCUUUGAACGCACCUUGCGCUCCUUGGUAUUCCGAGGAGCAUGCCUGUUUGAGUGUCAUUAAAUUCUCAACCUUAUUAACUUUUGUUGAUAAUGGAUUGGAUGUGGGGGUUUCUUUUGCUGGCUUCUUCACAGAUAUCAGCUCCCCUUAAAUGCAUUAGCUGGUGCCCCGCGUGGACCAUCUAUUGGUGUGAUAAUUAUCUACGCCGUGGAUGUCUGCAAUCAUAUGGGUUUUGCACUGCUUCUAACCGUCUGUUCAUUCGGACAAUACAUGACAAUUUGACCUCAAAUCAGG
rnacentral:sRNA from 1 species